GACGAACGCUGGCGGCGUGCUUAACACAUGCAAGUCGAACGGAAAGGCCCUGCUUUUGUGGGGUGCUCGAGUGGCGAACGGGUGAGUAACACGUGAGUAACCUGCCCUGUACGUUGGGAUAACUGCAGGAAACUGGUGCUAAUACCUGAUAGGAGCGCCUGCUGCAUGGGGGGGGUUGGAAAGUUUCGGCGGUUGGGGAUGGACGCGCGGCUUAUCAGCUUGUGGGGGGGGUAGUGGCUUAGCAAGGCUUUGACGGGUAGCCGGCCUGAGAGGGUGACCGGCCACAUUGGGACUGAGAUACGGCCCAGCCUCCUACGGGAGGCAGCAGUGGAGAAUAUUGCACAAUGGGCGGAAGCGUGAUGCAGCAACGCCGCGUGCGGGAUGACGGCCUUCGUGUUGUAAACCGCUUUCGCCUGUGACGAAGCGUGAGUGACGGUAAUGGGUAAAGAAGCACCGGCUAACUACGUG
rnacentral:rRNA from 1 species